rnacentral:tRNA from 4 species
GGGUAGGUAUGCAAAAUGGCUGAAGCAAGCGGUCUGUAAAACCGUCACACUAGAAACAUUGUGAGUUCGAAUCUCACCCUGCCCA